CCUGGUGGUCAUUGCGGGCUCGAAACACCCGAUCCCAUCCCGAACUCGGCCGUGAAAGAGCCCUGCGCCAAUGGUACUGCGUCUUAAGGCGUGGGAGAGUAGGUCGCCGCCAGGC
rnacentral:rRNA from 13 species